GAAUAUUGGACAAUGGGGGGCACCCUGAUCCAGCCAUGCCGCGUGUGUGAAGAAGGCCUUUUGGUUGUAAAGCACUUUAAGCGAGGAGGAGGCUACUCUAGUUACUACCUAGAGCUAGUGGUCGUUACUCGCACAAUAAGCACCGGCUAACUCUUUGCCCGCAGCCGCGGUAAUACAGAGGGUGCAAGCGUUAAUCGGAUUUACUGGGCGUAAAGCGAGCGGAGGUGGCCAAUUAAGUCAAAUGUGAAAUCCCCGAGCUUAACUUGGGAAUUGCAUUCGAUACUGGUUGGCUAGAGUAUGGGAGAGGAUGGUAGAAUUCCAGGUGUAGCGGUGAAAUGCGUAGAGAUCUGGAGGAAUACCGAUGGCGAAGGCAGCCAUCUGGCCUAAUACUGACACUGAGGUGCGAAAGCAUGGGGAGCAAAC
rnacentral:rRNA from 1 species